GUAGAUGUGGCGAAGUGGUUAACGCAUCGGGUUGUGGUUCCGACAUACGCGGGUUCGAUCCCCGUCAUCUACCCCA
rnacentral:tRNA from 2 species